GACGAACGCUGGCGGCGUGCUUAACACAUGCAAGUCGAACGGUGAAGCGCCUUCCUUUUUGGUGGGUGUGGAUGAGUGGCGAACGGGUGAGUAACACGUGAGUAACCUGCCCCCUUCUUCUGGAUAACCGCAUGAAAGUGUGGCUAAUACGGGAUAUUCUGGGUCUGUCGCAUGAUGGGUCUGGGAAAGAUAUUGUUUCGGUGGGGGAUGGGCUCGCGGCCUAUCAGCUUGUUGGUGGGGUGAUGGCCUACCAAGGCGGUGACGGGUAGCCGGCCUGAGAGGGUGGACGGUCGCACUGGGACUGAGACACGGCCCAGACUCCUACGGGAGGCAGCAGUGGGGAAUAUUGCACAAUGGGCGCAAGCCUGAUGCAGCGACGCCGCGUGAGGGAUGGAGGCCUUCGGGUUGUGAACCUCUUUCGCCAGUGAAGCAGGCCUGCCUCGUUUGUGGGUGGGUUGACGGUAGCUGGAUAAGAAGCGCCGGCUAACUACGUG
rnacentral:rRNA from 1 species